UAUUGGGCAAUGGGCGCAAGCCUGACCCAGCAACGCCGCGUGAAGGAAGAAGGCUUUCGGGUUGUAAACUUCUUUUGUCAGGGACGAAGCAAGUGACGGUACCUGACGAAUAAGCCACGGCUAACUACGUGCCAGCAGCCGCGGUAAUACGUAGGUGGCGAGCGUUAUCCGGAUUUAUUGGGCGUAAAGCGUCCGCAGCCGGUUUAUUAAGUCUAAGAUUAAAGCCCGAAGCUCAACUUCGGUUCGUUUUAGAAACUGGUAGACUUGAGUGUGGUAGAGGCAAGUGGAACUUCUAGUGUAGCGGUAAAAUGCGUAGAUAUUAGAAAGAACACCAGUGGCGAAGGCGACUUGCUGGGCCACCACUGACGGUCAGGGACGAAAGCGUGGGGAGCAAAUAGG
rnacentral:rRNA from 1 species